CACUCCCCGGCUGCUCACACCUUCUGCUUUGCUUUUCCAUAGCAUUGGAUUUGCCUUUCUUCUCUGCAGCAGCAUCCACCUGUAUAUGUGGAAGGUAAUCCUCUGUUUACAGUCUGUGGCUGAUGCAUCAGCGAGCUGGUGGCAUCCCCAAAGAACGCUGAAAGCAGCAGAGACUCAGCAACGGGAAAUGGGAAAAAAUUAUAAAGCUUUACCAAGAGACGCUGGAGCUUAGCAGUCACUCUCGACUCUGAACUCCACCUUACCGAAGUCACAGCUACAUUCCAGCACCUACAGCAAAUGACGAAGGGUCUGGCCUCCAGGGAACAGACUCAUUCCAUAUGCAACUCUGACUCCUUCCUUAAUUGAUCCUGGACACCUAAAAAGGAAUGGCUUAAUCCUAAAAAAAGCUAAUGUGUCAGCAUGUAAGUAAAAUGUAUGUUCACACUGAGGCCAAAUUAAUAUUUUGGCACCUGAAAUUAGGUGUUUCUGAACAUUUCAGUGCCUGACUGUGCAACAUGAAUGCUCUUUAAUACAUACCUGUAUAUAAAUUCUGGAAAUGGGGCUGGGGGAGAAGUGGGGGAGGGGGGGCAGAUGUCUCUAAAGCAAAUGGCUUCCCAUCCCCCACGUGAGUUCCUGAAUGCAUUAUUGUCUCAGAGGACCCACUGACAGAUCUGAAGCCUUAAUAUACAGACUUUGACCUCACAAGCCAAGAAGGAAACUUUUCAAGGGAGAAUAAAACACUAUCUUUACUGUGAUUGUCACUACUCUUCUCUGGCAACAGAAGCGACACAGAAAUACAAAGAGGGGUGACGUAUGGUGAUGGAGAAAGACAAUUCUCCCUGUUCAUUUUCCACUCCUGUAAGUAAUGUGUUCCUCAAAACCAGGAUUCAUCCUCUCACUGUUAUAUCCUACCCGCUGGUUCCAGUUCCCCUCUACACCAUUAUUCUCCAUCAGCUGCCUAAGAUUUCUGUAUCUUCAUCCACCUCUCUUCCUCUCUAUUUCAGUCAGGCUAAUCCACCUUCCAUCAUAUCAGAGAAGGAUGCAUUAAAAAAAAAAAAAACAAACAGGAAAACAAUCUCCUUGAACUUAGCAGAAUUGCCAGGGACCAGAGCAGCCCCUGGCUUCCAAAAAAAGCAAUUACAAAGCCCCAAACUGAGCAUGCUAAAUACAGUGCUGUUUAAGCAGCCAUCUCUUAGGAACCAUCUGCUAAGCAUGUGCAAAUAGUGACUUUGGAGAUUAUUUUGAUUUACCAAAUUUUGGAAGAAUUUUACAGGAACAGCAAGAGAAGGCUCUAAGUACUAUUCUGACAUAGGUUUUACAGAAUAAUGACAUACUGAUUUUAGUUUUAGGAAUAACAUUCAUCUCCCAUGAACCAAAAUGUAAGCUUGCAGCAACCUUGAGGGGAAAAAAUUACUCUUAAUGAUUUCCUCAAAUGUACAGUAAAUUUCAUUGAAAUAUAGAACAGGCUUUCCUUGUAUGAUAUUCCCAUGCAGUCAAAAAAAAGCAUGUGCCUUCAGGUGCAAAGCCAAACUCAAUUAGUAUUUUACACAAACCAGAAUAUACCCUGAAUUCUGAUCAGAGGCAGGCUGAUGAUUCAUACUGCCAUGGUCUGCACAUUCGGAUUUGCAAGAAAAGCCAGUGUACAGCUUGAUAAGGGGUUUUGAUCCAAAAAUAGGCACAGAUGUGAUUUUAAACAUUUGCCUGAGAAAAUUAGGUUUAGACACUCUGCUUUAAUUGUGUGUCAUCUAAUGCUGAUGGGCACUUACCCGGGUAGAACACCAGCUCCUCGAUUAAAAUGUAAAGCAACAUGUAACAUUUACAGUAAUGUAAUUCUGUAUUCAUGAGCAGAAAGCACUGCUUGGAAUGCAGCUUUCAUCGAAAGCAAACCCAAAAACCCUAUAAAGAUCAAAUGUACAUCAUACAGUAGGAUAAUUCCCUGCCUUUUUAUCUCAGAAACAUCAGGAACAAUCGGAAAAUCAAGCCAGUCCUAUGAAAAGCAUGUAAGAGAAAAAGGACAGACUGCAAAGAAGAGAUGUUGUCAUGCAGGCGCAGGAGGGAGGAUUUCUUCCCUUUUAGCAGAUGCAAAACAAAUAUUCCAGUUCCUGUGAUUUCUCCCAAGAUCUGCAUUAGCAAGUCCAAUGUGCGGAGCGUGUGAGUCCUGUCACCACGGGUGGCAGCACGUCGGGGCACUGGGGAGUGCAACGUCAAAGGGCAUGCACAGCCACAGCUUUUUCUCAUCUUUGCCUCUCUCUUCCCUUCUGUUUGGUGAACACUAGGGGCUUACACACACUGAAGAAAAAAUUCCAGCAUGACUGAUUUUGUCAGUAGCCUGUUUCACAGAGGUGAGAAAUCACCCAUCUUGAAUUCCAGCAAUGAAAUCUAUGGAUGCAGGUUGCAAAAUAUGCGGCCAUCCCUGGGCAGGGUAUUGCUUCCUGGUUUGUACACUGGGUUAAGAAGGCAGCUGUUCUUCAGACAGCCCCAUCCUUCACAACCCAAAGGACUAGUGUAGAGAGAGAAAACACAGGCUUUGUGAUGCUGCUUUCUUCCUCUAUUAAAUUUCUGCUUUCUCUGGUUGCAUAGUUUAAAAAGUCACCUUAGUUUUGGGGUUCUUAAGCUCUGACCAUGCUGUUUGUGCCCAUGGUGUCCCACUCCUUGGUGCCAGUCAAAAGAAGGUGGGACUGAGGAGAGGAAAAGAGGCAAGUGAAGUUUCACUGAUUAAAUAUAAACUACUAACUGCACUGAGACCAGCUUUCAAUUUCCCAAGGUUGCUUCUAGAAUGCCCUUUUUAGCAUAAGAAAAUUGUCAUCCGUCUGGGAGAAGUGCAGCACAUAUGAGUGAAAAGAGUGAAACUUUUGUAUAAUAUUCCUACUGUGAUGGAACCCAGGCUGGAAAUAAGGAGGAUGCCUCCUUCUACUUCACUUUUCUGUUAAUUUCAAAUGGACAAAAGUUGCAAGUUGUGAGGAUCCCUCACCAAUCAGCAAUGGGAAAUUAACUUUAUCAUUAACCUUGUCUGUGCCCUCACCAAUUCAAUUGGCAUUGGCCCAGGUCCCAGACCUGAGGCCAACAAAUACAGAGCAGAGCUUGGUCAGGUGAUGCAAUGAGAGCUACUUCUCUCCCCAGCCAUCCUGGACUGGCUACAUCUCGUCUUGACCCCUUGGCACAAAGCACUGGGUCUUUCCAUGCCACCAGCGAGACUUUCAGCCAGUAUAAAUGAGCAUAACAGAACCAAUUUCAAUAAAAUAGCUUUUGUAACCCUUAAGAAUCUAACCAUAAUUAUUAAACUCUCCUUGAAAAUUUUCUUUUUAGUUCCCUUAAAAAAAAAAGGUCUUUGUUACCCACCUCCUCACUGUGGGUAACCUCAUCCUCUCCAAGCUCCAGCUGGAACCUGCAUCACACAUUGCUCAGUGCCUUGUUGCAAAAAACAUUCCCCAUUCGCAGCACUAAAUCCCCUGCACAUACUCCCAAAAUAUCUUCUGUGGUUCC